UAGGGAAUCUUCGGCAAUGGACGAAAGUCUGACCGAGCAACGCCGCGUGAGUGAAGAAGGUUUUCGGAUCGUAAAACUCUGUUGGUAGAGAAGAACGUUGGUGAGAGUGGAAAGCUCAUCAAGUGACGGUAACUACCCAGAAAGGGACGGCUAACUACGUGCCAGCAGCCGCGGUAAUACGUAGGUCCCGAGCGUUGUCCGGAUUUAUUGGGCGUAAAGCGAGCGCAGGUGGUUUAUUAAGUCUGGUGUAAAAGGCAGUGGCUCAACCAUUGUAUGCAUUGGAAACUGGUAGACUUGAGUGCAGGAGAGGAGAGUGGAAUUCCAUGUGUAGCGGUGAAAUGCGUAGAUAUAUGGAGGAACACCGGUGGCGAAAGCGGCUCUCUGGCCUGUAACUGACACUGAGGCUCGAAAGCGUGGGGAGUAAACAGGAUUAGAUACCCUGGUAGUCCACGCCGUAAACGAUGAGUGCUAGAUGUAGGGAGCUAUAAGUUCUCUGUAUCGCAGCUAACGCAAUAAGCACUCCGCCUGGGGAGUACGACCGCAAGGUUGAAAC
rnacentral:rRNA from 1 species